rnacentral:tRNA from 1 species
CAAGCUAAAGCUCAUAAGAGUAUUUUAUUUACAUUAAAAAGGUUGUUAAAAUUAAUAUAGUUUGA